rnacentral:rRNA from 1 species
UACGGAGGGUGCAAGCGUUAUCCGGAUUCACUGGGUUUAAAGGGUGCGUAGGUGGAGUGGUAAGUCAGUGGUGAAAUCUCCAAGCUUAACUUGGAAACUGCCGUUGAUACUAUCAUUCUUGAAUAUCGUGGAGGUAAGCGGAAUAUGUCAUGUAGCGGUGAAAUGCUUAGAUAUGACAUAGAACACCAAUUGCGAAGGCAGCUCGUUACACGAAGAUUGACUCUGAGGCACGAAAGCGUGGGGAUCAAACAGG